rnacentral:rRNA from 1 species
GUAAUGUCUGGGAAACUGCCUGAUGGAGGGGGAUAACUACUGGAAACGGUGGCUAAUACCGCAUAACGUCGCAAGACCAAAGAGGGGGACCUUCGGGCCUCUUGCCAUCAGAUGUGCCCAGAUGGGAUUAGCUUGUUGGUGAGGUAACGGCUCACCAAGGCGACGAUCCCUAGCUGGUCUGAGAGGAUGACCAGCCACACUGGAACUGAGACACGGUCCAGACUCCUACGGGAGGCAGCAGUGGGGAAUAUUGCACAAUGGGCGCAAGCCUGAUGCAGCCAUGCCGCGUGUAUGAAGAAGGCCUUCGGGUUGUAAAGUACUUUCAGCGGGGAGGAAGGUGUUGUGGUUAAUAACCGCAGCAAUUGACGUUACCCGCAGAAGAAGCACCGGCUAACUCCGUGCCAGCAGCCGCGGUAAUACGGAGGGUGCAAGCGUUAAUCGGAAUUACUGGGCGUAAAGCGCACGCAGGCGGUCUGUCAAGUCGGAUGUGAAAUCCCCGGGCUCAACCUGGGAACUGCAUUCGAAACUGGCAGGCUUGAGUCUUGUAGAGGGGGGUAGAAUUCCAG